GGCGGCGGCCGGAGCGGGGCGCCCCGCCGCUGCCCCUGCGCGCGGCCUCGGCGGCGAGGUCGGCUAGGCGCUUGGCGGUUUCGAGAGCAAGGCUGGCGAAGACGAAGUAGACGGAGUUGGUUUUGAAGGGCAAGCGGGUGUGGUGACUGGCGACGACGAGCGGCGGAGAGCGCUUCUUGUGGACGGCGGUGGCGGUGGCGACCCCGAGCUCCCGCAUGGCAAGCGCCUCCUGCGGCCGCCCUCUCCGCCCCGGCUCGGCCCCGGCUGCCCGCGCCGCCCGCCCGCCCGCCACGGCCGCGUCGCCCUGCCCGGCCGCGCCGCCCGGCCUUGGCCCCGGCCGCCUGCGCCACCUCCUCCUCCUUGCGGCGACAUGGUGUGCCGCGUACUAUCGUCCCCAGCUGGUGGAGGCGAAGGCCCCGACUCGGAGGGCUAGCAGAGGAGAUCCCGCGGCCCGCUUCGAAAUGGGGGCCAUGGAGAUGGAUGGCGCCGCACCAGUACGGCCUCACCACCGCCAAGCUCGGAGUAGAUAGGGUCUGAUGCCGGCGAUGUUUAGCAGAUACGUCGGCCUUUGGGAGAUACACGAGCUUAGCGAAGCUCCUUGCGCCAGCUGACAAGCUCUUCCAAAUCCGGCCAGCGCAACUAGCGCGCUGGAGCUGAACCAGCUUGGCGGACGAAUGGCCAUGGGUGCCGUUGGUGACUGAAGAGAAGCUAGCUCCACAGGUGAAGCGCUCCCGCCCCUAGCAGCUUCGCGAACAAGGUGCGCAUGGUACAGGUCAUUGCCGGCUGGCCUGCGUAUCUGUCAGCAAUCGCCGGGGACUCCUUGGAGAAGAUCAACAAGGCAGGACCUGUUCAUGGAAGGCCAUGUCACUACCACUUUGCCUUCACUGCCUGCAAGACUUGCAUGGAUUGAAAGUCAAACCACAGCUGGCUGAUGAUGAUGCACUUCCAUUUCUACUACAGAAUGAGCAACCAGAUGGGGCUACAAGCUGCAGAGUGGUGGCCACUCAAGUUCCUGAAUAAGGUGGUAUUGGUGGACCAUAUUAUUUGUGGCAUGGGAAGUAAAGGCAUUUGUCGAUCUGGUAGAUGUUUGGCUAUAUUGUACUGUCAAUCUGGUAGAUGUUUGGCUAUAUUGUAUUGUUGAUCUGGUAGAUGUUUGGCUAAAAUCAAGUAGAAGCCAGAGAGCUCGUACGACGGACACCACUUGCUCCGGUGCUAGGAGAUAGCACACAUGGCAAGAAAUGGGUCCCAGUACAAGAUCAGGCAAAUGCGCGACAACGAUAUGGGUUAGCGGCGAUGAUAGGGUGGCAAGGAACAGCCGGGUCCGUGCUAUUAACAACGCGGGUAAUACUGGCUAGAGGUCGCACGGCGUACUCGGCUUCGACCCGAGGCCUUCAGCCUUACGGCGGGUGGAGGCAAUGCAACAUAUUUCUUAGCAGGGUUGGGAUUUGAAGAUCUUAGUAAAAAGAUGGAAUAGAGCUCAUAUGAGAUGAAAAAUAGAAAAGAAAGGCGUGGACAGGCUUAGGAUAUUAUUUAGUAUUUUUGAGAAUUUUUGAGGAAUUUUUGGGACUGGGGAAGGGUGGCCACUCAAGUUCCUGAAUAAGGUGGUAUUGGUGGACCAUAUUAUUUGUGGCAUCGGAAGUAAAUGUGGUAUUGGUGGACCAUAUUAUUUGUGGUAUGGGAAGUAAAUGCAUUUGUCGAUCUGGUAGAUGUUUGACUA